rnacentral:rRNA from 1 species
GAUGAACGCUGGCGGUAUGCUUAACACAUGCAAGUCGAACGGACCCUUCGGGGUUAGUGGCGGACGGGUGAGUAACGCGUGAGAAUCUGCCUUUAGGCCGGGGACAACAGUUGGAAACGACUGCUAAUACCGGAUGUGCAGCAAUGUGAAAGAUUUAUUGCCUAAAGAUGAGCUCGCGUCUGAUUAGCUAGUAGGUGUGGUAAUGGCGCACCUAGGCGACGAUCAGUAACUGGUCUGAGAGGAUGACCAGUCACACUGGGACUGAGACACGGCCCAGACUCCUACGGGAGGCAGCAGUGGGGAAUUUUCCGCAAUGGGCGAAAGCCUGACGGAGCAAUACCGCGUGAGGGACGACGGCUUUUGGGUUGUAAACCUCUUUUCCCUGGGAAGAAGAUCUGACGGUACCAGGGGAAUCAGCAUCGGCUAACUUCGUGCCAGCAGCCGCGGUAAUACAAGGGAUGCAAGCGUUAUCCGGAAUUAUUGGGCGUAAAGCGUCCGCAGGUGGCUUUGUAAGUCUGUCGUUAAAGCGUGGAGCUCAACUCCAUAUCGGCGAUGGAAACUACAAGACUAGAGUUUGGUAGGGGUCACGGGAAUUCCUAGUGUAGCGGUGAAAUGCGUAGAUAUUAGGAAGAACACCAGCGGCGAAAGCGCGUGACUGGGCCAAUACUGACACUCAUGGACGAAAGCUAGGGGAGCGAAAGGGAUUAGAUACCCCUGUAGUCCUAGCCGUAAACGAUGAUAACUAGGUGUUGCUCG